rnacentral:lncRNA from 1 species
CCCUGCACCAGCACCGCCCGCCGCUGCCGCCCCCAGGGUCCCGUUUCACUGCAGUGAAUGUGGCAAGAGCUUCCGCUACCGCUCAGACCUGCGGCGCCACUUUGCCCGGCACACAGCGCUCAAGCCCCACGCAUGUCCGCGCUGCGGCAAGGGUUUCAAGCACAGCUUCAACCUAGCCAACCACCUGCGCUCGCACACCGGGGAGCGGCCCUACCGCUGCUCUGCCUGCCCCAAGGGGUUCCGCGACUCCACCGGCCUGCUGCACCACCAGGAAGCAAAGCAGGCUUUGGAGGAACUGGAGGAAGGCCAAUGUGACUGGAGCAUGGAGAAGCAGAAAGUGUGGCUCAGGAGAAGUCUGGAGAGUGCCGGACCCUGGAAAUACAGCUGUCGUCCACACUGGUGAGAAACCCUACUGCUGCCUGGUCUGCGAGCUCCGCUUCUCCUCACGCUCCAGCCUGGGCCGCCACCUCAAGCGCCAGCACCGUGGGGUUCUCCCCUCUCCCCUGCAGCCCGGCCCUGGCCUGCCCGCCUUGAGUGCGCCCUGCUCCGUCUGCUGCAAUGUGGGGCCCUGCUCGGUGUGCGGGGGCUCAGGGGCCGGCG